CCCUGCGUGGCGGAACUGGUAGACGCGGGGUGCCUCGCAAGCCUCUGAGCUUCGGCUCGUGCGGGUUCGAAUCCCGCCGUAGGGA
rnacentral:tRNA from 1 species